rnacentral:tRNA from 1 species
GCCGGGAUGGCGGAACUGGUAGACGCGCCAGACUCAAAAUCUGGUGGUAGCAAUACCGUGUCGGUUCGAUUCCGACUCUCGGUA